rnacentral:rRNA from 1 species
AUUGAACGCUGGCGGCAGGCCUAACACAUGCAAGUCGAACGAGUGGCGGACGGGUGAGUAGUGUCUGGGAAACUCCCUGAUGGCGGGGGAUAACUACUGGAAACGGUCGCUUAUACCGCAAUCAAUCGGCUGUGCCCAGAUGGGUUUAGCUAGGAGGUGGGGUAAGGGCUCACCUAGGCGACGAUCCCUAGCUGGUCUGAGAGGAUGACCAGCCACACUGGAACUGAGACACGGUCCAGACUCCUACGGGAGGCAGCAGUGGGGAAUAUUGCACAAUGGGCGCAAGCCUGAUGCAGCCAUGCCGCGUGUAUGAAGAAGGCCUUCGGGUUGUAAAGUACUUUCAGCGGGGAGGCGUUACCCGCAGAAGAAGCACCGGCUAACUCCGUGCCAGCCGCCGCGGUAAUUC